rnacentral:rRNA from 1 species
AUGGAGGGGGAUAAAAUUUUCAAAGUUUUGGAGUGCGCCCAAUCUUUCUGCAUGCUCAAGGAUAAGUGCCACUUUAUGGUUAAUGAAAGCAUUGUCUUGGGUCAUAAAAUUUCUGAACGAGGUAUUGAGGUGGAUAAAGUUAAAGUUGAUGCAAUUGAGAAGAUCCCAUGUCCUAAAGACAUUAAAGGGCAUCAAUUCAUGACUGUGUGUGCACUAUCUUUCAAGCUUUCAAGCUUCAAGCUUCAAGAUGCAUCCACCACAAUGUGUAUUUUGUACCCUAAAUUCCUUCUCAUUGACUCCCAAAGAAAUAUCUCAUGA